AUUGAACGCUGGCGGCAGGCUUAACACAUGCAAGUCGAGCGGAGAGAGGUAGCUUGCUACUGAUCUUAGCGGCGGACGGGUGAGUAAUGCUUAGGAAUCUACCUAUUAGUGGGGGACAACAUUUCGAAAGGAAUGCUAAUACCGCAUACGUCCUACGGGAGAAAGCAGGGGAUCUUCGGACCUUGCGCUAAUAGAUGAGCCUAAGUCGGAUUAGCUAGUUGGUGGGGUAAAGGCCUACCAAGGCGACGAUCUGUAGCGGGUCUGAGAGGAUGAUCCGCCACACUGGGACUGAGACACGGCCCAGACUCCUACAGGAGGCAGCAGUGGGGAAUAUUGGACAAUGGGCGCAAGCCUGAUCCAGCCAUGCCGCGUGUGUGAAGAAGGCCUUAUGGUUGUAAAGCACUUUAAGCGAGGAGGAGGCUACUUUAGUUAAUACCUAGAGAUAGUGGACGUUACUCGCAGAAUAAGCACCGGCUAACUCUGUGCCAGCCGCCGCCGUAAAAC
rnacentral:rRNA from 1 species